AGAACGAACGCUGGCGGCAUGCCUCAUACAUGCAAGUCGAACGCUCUACAGGCUUCGGUCUGUGGGGAGUGGCGCACGGGUGAGUAGCGCGUGGGAACCUGCCCAACAGUGGGGGAUAACCGAUGGAAACGUCGGCUAAUACCGCAUGUGCCCCGGGGGCAACUCGGGGGGAAAGAUUUAUCGCUGUUGGAGGGGCCCGCGUCGGAUUAGCUAGUUGGUGGGGUAACGGCCUACCAAGGCUUUGAUCCGUAGCUGGUCUGAGAGGAUGAUCAGCCACACUGGGACUGAGACACGGCCCAGACUCCUACGGGAGGCAGCAGUAGGGAAUAUUGGACAAUGGGGGAAACCCUGAUCCAGCAAUGCCGCGUGAGUGAGGAAGGCCUAGGGUUGUAAAGCUCUUUCGCACGCGACGAUGAUGACGGUAGCGUGAGAGAGCCCGCUACUCGCGCAGCAGCCGC
rnacentral:rRNA from 1 species